rnacentral:rRNA from 1 species
UACGGACGGGGCAAGCGUUGUUCGGAAUCAUUGGGCGUAAAGGGCGCGUAGGUGGUUCUGUAUGUCUACCGUGAAAGCGUACGGCUCAACUGUAUUUUGUCGGUAGAAACUGCAGGACUUGAGGCUGGGAGGGGCUGGUGGAAUUCCCUGUGUAGCGGUGAAAUGCGUAGAGAUGGGGGAGAACACUCGUGGCGAAGGCGGCCAGCUAGACCAGUUCUGACACUGAGGCGCGACAGCGUGGGGAGCAAACAGG